UUAAAAAGUUCUUAGAAAUAUCUAUAAGUAGUGUCCGAUAUAUGCUCCUUUCUCUUAUUGUAAAAGAAGAGAAGAUGGCUAUUGGUAUCAACAAAGUGCAUUUUUUCAUUGCAAUGUUAUGCAUUGCAUCUGUUUUGACAUCAGGAGGAGUCAUUGAUUCACAAUCAUCAUGGACUUAUUGCAUUGGACAAGGUCCAUGUCCAAAUAAUGAUUCAGGUUGUAGCAAUUAUUGUCAACAAAAAAAGAUUUCACAGGUUGGCAAGUGUAUUGCAAAUCAAUGUUGUUGUACUGGAUAAUUGUACCUUUUCUCAAACUAUUUGUAAACGCCAUCAAAAUAAGUUUAAAAUAAAAUACUAUAUUUAAGUUUU